AGAGUUUGAUCCUGGCUCAGAACGAACGCUGGCGGCGUGGCUAAGACAUGCAAGUCGAACGAGCUAUCCAAUUGAGUAAUCGAGAGGGUAGUUAGUGGCGAAAGGGUUAGUAACAGACAGGUAACGUACCCAGUGCUCCGGGAUAGCGUCCCGAAAGGGGCAUUAAUACCGGAUAAUAUCACCGGUUAUCAAGACCGGUGCUCAAAGAUUUAUCGGCGCUGGAGCGGCCUAUCUCCUAUCAGCUUGUUGGUGAGGUAAUGGCCCACCAAGGCGAUGACGGGUAGCGGGACUGAGAGGUUGGCCCGCAACAUCGGGACUGAGACACUGCCCGGACCUCCACGGAGGGCUGCAGUAACGAAUAUUGGGCAAUGGGCGAAAGCCUGACCCAGCGACGCCGCGUGUGGGAGGAAGUCCCUCGGGAUGUAAACCACUGUCAGGGGCUAGAAAGUCCGCCUUCGGGCGGAUUGAUCAGCCCCAGAGGAAGUCACGGCUAACUUCGUGCCAGCAGCCGCGGUAAGACGAAGGUGGCUAGCGUUGUUCGGUGUCACUGGGCUUAAAGGGUGUGUAGGCGGUUCGCAAAGCGCCUUGUGAAAUCCCUCGGCUUAACCGAGGAAUUGCUUGGUGAACUGGCGAACUUGAGGCAGGUAGGGGUCAGUGGAACUGUUGGUGGAGCGGUGGAAUGCGUAGAUAUCAACAGGAACGCCGGUGGAGAAAUCGGCUGACUGGGCCUGCCCUGACGCUGAGACACGAAAGCGUGGGGAGCAAACGGGAUUAGAUACCCCGGUAGUCCACGCUGUAAACGAUGUCUACUAGGUUGUGGAGGUUCUGACGCCGUCACGGCCGAAGCAAAAGUGUUAAGUAGACCGCCUGGGGAGUACGGCCGCAAGGCUAAAACUCAAAGGAAUUGACGGGGGCUCACACAAGCGGUGGAGCAUGUGGAUCAAUUCGAAGCAACGCGCAGAACCUUACCUGGGUUUGACAUGCUUGGAUGCCCGCCUGGAAACAGGUUGGGUUGCCCGCAAGGGUGAAACUUGCACAGGUGCUGCAUGGCUGUCGUCAGCUCGUGUCGUGAGAUGUCGGGUUAAGUCCUUUAACGAGCGAAACCCCUGCCGUUAGUUACCAUCGGGUCAUGCCGGGGACUCUAGCGGGACUGCCGGUGUUAAACCGGAGGAAGGUGGGGAUGACGUCAAGUCCUCAUGGCCUUUAUACCCAGGGCCUCACACGUGCUACAAUGGUGAUUACAAAGCGACGCAAGACCGUAAGGUGGAGCAAAUCGCAAAAAGGUCACCCCAGUGCAGAUUGUGGGCUGGCAACUCGCCCACAUGAAGUCGGAAUCGCUAGUAAUCGUGAAUCAGCUACGUCACGGUGAAUGUGUUCCUGAGCCUUGUACACACCGCCCGUCAAGUCAUGGGAGUCGUAAGUACCCGAAACCAGCUUGCCAACCCGAAAGGGAGGCGACUGUCCACGGUAAGUGCGAUGACUGGGACUAAGUCGUAACAAGGUAAC
rnacentral:rRNA from 1 species